GACGAACGCUGGCGGCGUGCUUAACACAUGCCAGUCGAACGGAAAGGCCCUGCUUUUGUGGGGUGCUCGAGUGGCGAACGGGUGAGUAACACGUGAGUAACCUGCCCUUGACUUUGGGAUAACUUCAGGAAACUGGGGCUAAUACCGGAUAGGAGCUCCUGCUGCAUGGUGGGGGUUGGAAAGUUUCGGCGGUUGGGGAUGCACUCGCGGCUUAUCAGCUUGUUGGUGGGGUAGUGGCUUACCAAGGCUUUGACGGGUAGCCGGCCUGAGAGGGUGACCGGCGACAUUGGGACUGAGAGACGGCCCAGACUCCUACGGGAGGCAGCAGUGGGGAAUAUUGCAAAAUGGGCGGAAGCCUGAUGCAGCAACGCCGCGUGCGGGAUGACGGCCUUCGGGUUGUAAACCGCUUUCGCCUGUGACGAAGCGUGAGUGACGGUAAUGGGUAAAGAAGCACCGGCUAACUACGUG
rnacentral:rRNA from 1 species